rnacentral:rRNA from 1 species
UACGUAGGGUGCGAGCGUUGUCCGGAAUUACUGGGCGUAAAGAGCUCGUAGGUGGUUUGUCGCGUUGUUCGUGAAAACUCACAGCUCAACUGUGGGCGUGCGGGCGAUACGGGCAGACUGGAGUACUGCAGGGGAGACUGGAAUUCCUGGUGUAGCGGUGGAAUGCGCAGAUAUCAGGAGGAACACCGAUGGCGAAGGCGGGUCUCUGGGCAGUAACUGACGCUGAGGAGCGAAAGCGUGGGGAGCGAACAGG